GAUGAACGCUGGCGGCGUGCCUAAUACAUGCAAGUCGAGCGAACGGACGAGAAGCUUGCUUCUCUGAUGUUAGCGGCGGACGGGUGAGUAACACGUGGAUAAUCUACCUAUAAGACUGGGAUAACUUCGGGACACCGGAGAUUAUACCGGAUAAUAUUUUGAAGCGCAUGGUUGAAAAGUGAAAUACGGUCUUGAUGUAACUUAUAGAUGGAUCCGCGCUGCAUUAGCUAGUUGGUAAGGUAACGGCUUAUCAAGGCAACGAUGCAUAGCCGAGCUGAGAGAGUGGUCGCCCACACUGGAGCUGAGACAGGGUCCAGACGCCUACGGGAGGCAGCAGUAGGGAAUCUUCCGCAAUGGGCGAAAGCCUGACGGAGCAACGCCGCGUGAGAGAUGAAGGUCUUCGGAUCGUAAAACUCUGUUAUUAGGGAAGAACAUAUGUGUAAGUAACUGUACACAUCGUGACGGUACCUAAUCAGAAAGCCACGGCUAACUACGUG
rnacentral:rRNA from 1 species